GACGAACGCUGGCGGCGUGCUUAACACAUGCAAGUCGAACGGAAAGGCCCUGCUUGCAGGGUACUCGAGUGGCGAACGGGUGAGUAACACGUGGGUGAUCUGCCCUGCACUUCGGGAUAAGCCUGGGAAGCUGGGUCUAAUACCGGAUAGGAGCCAUUUUUAGUGUGAUGGUUGGAAAGUUUUUUCGGUGUAGGAUGAGCUCGCGGCCUAUCAGCUUGUUGGUGGGGUAAUGGCCUACCAAGGCGGCGACGGGUAGCCGGCCUGAGAGGGUGGACGGCCACAUUGGGACUGGGAUACGGCCCAGACUCCGACGGGGGGCGGCAGGGGGGAAGGUUGCACAAGGGGCGCAGGCCUGAUGCAGCGGCGCCGCGGGGGGGAUGACGUUCUUCGGGUUGUAAAAUCCGUUCGCUCGGGACGAAGCGUUUUGUGACGGUACCUAAAGAAGAAGCACCGGCUAACUACGUG
rnacentral:rRNA from 1 species